CAUUUGUCCCUCGGUGGUAGGAUACCUGUCUUGCAUGCAGAAGGUCCCAGGUUCAAUCCCCUGCAGGCAGGA